AGCGAACGCUGGCGGCAGGCCUAACACAUGCAAGUCGAACGAACCUUUCGGGGUUAGUGGCGGACGGGUGUGUAACACGUGGGAACGUGCCUUUAGGUCCGGAAUAACUCAGGGAAACUUGUGCUAAUACCGAAUGUGCCCUUCGGGGGAAAGAUUUAUCGCCUUUAGAGCGGCCCGCGUCUGAUUAGCUAGUUGGUUGAGGUAAUGGCUCACCAAGGCGACGAUCAGUAGCUGGUCUGAGAGGAUGAUCAGCCACAUUGGGACUGGGACACGGCCCAAACUCCUACGGGAGGCAGCAGUGGGGAAUCUUGCGCAAUGGGCGAAAGCCUGACGCAGCCAUGCCGCGUGAAUGAUGAAGGUCUUAGGAUUGUAAAAUUCUUUCACCGGGGACGAUAAUGACGGUACCCGGAGAAGAAGCCCCGGCUAACUUCGUG
rnacentral:rRNA from 1 species